CCUGAGCUGGGACUUGGGCCCCGGGGCGCUGCUCCUCCGCAACCGAUCCACCGCAUCCUGGCAACUGAGCAGGCUCCGCCACCCCUAGAGCACAGGGGCCAGUUGAAACAGAGUGUAACCAAAGGAGAUUUCCCAGAGGAAGGUAAAAUGUGAGCUGAAUUUUAAAGGAUCAUCAGAAGAAAAUGAGGAUCCUAGGUCAAAGAAACAGACAUGUAAGGAUAGAGGCUGGGCCAGAUGUUAAAGGAUAUGUAAAGGUGAAAGACACACCGCUUGCCCCCCAAGAACUCACACAGAGGGGCAAGACAUUUACACAAGGAACAAGUCUCCAAAGCAUCUAUGAAGCAACGCAGUUCAGCAAGAGAACUCUGACCUGGGAGUGAAUCAUGGUCCUUCUACUUUCUAGCUGUGUGAUUUUGCAAAGUUGUGUAAUCUUUCAAAGCCUCAGUUUCCUUAUCUGUAAAAUCAGGAUUAUUGGAUAUUUAUGAGGAAUAAAUGAUAGCCAUGAGUAAA